AUUUAACCUCUUAUUCUUACUCUAAAAUCUGGCAGCUAAUCUCAAUCUGCCAAAUUUCUAGACACUGAGGUAAACUGUCAACUCCGUUCUUGAGAGAUUGAGAUUGAGGUUAUGUCUUGCUUAAUCUUAGUGAUUGCAAAGUACCUUAACUUAAGUAAUAAACUAAAGUAAACUAAAUAAAGUAAUAAACUUAAGUAUAAAAAAUAAAAUUUACUAUGGAUGUUUGUUUUAAGUUAGGGUGUAGCUAAUUAUAAGUUUAGGCAUAGGCUGCACUUUACUUUAGGUCCUACACUCAUCCUAAAUACAUUAUUAUUUGCUUUCUUCGUCUCUAUUUCGGAACACAUCACCUUAUUUUAGUUUCCUUCAUCGGUUUGUUUUAUGUUAUUUUUAAUUGUUUUUUAUUUAGGUUAAAGCGGCUAUUUGCCAUUGCACUGGAAGAGCAUGUCGUAACUUAAAUUAAUUUGAUCCCUUUAUUAGGUGAAUGGUAUUGAAACAAACUAUGAUAUUGUUUCUCUCUACCACAAUCUUUAAUACCUUAAAUCAUAGGUCUAAUAACAAUAAUUAUCUUAUAAUAAGUUCAAUUAGUAUGCCUAGUCUAUUUCAAACAUUCCAACAAGAAUAAAACCCUUGAUUAAAUAGUCUAGUAUUGACACAGUAAAUAAAAUUAAAAUGCGAUUAUUCUACAGAAAACAAUCGCAUAAUUGGGUGCUAAUACAUUGACAACAAAUACAUAACCUCUAAAAUCGCAAUUAUUAAAUUAAAGCAAUAACAAAACAAUAUGGCGUCGUCUCAAAAAGAGUAAUUUUUUGCCGAAAGAGAGGAAGAAGAAAGUGCAAUCAACCUCCACUCAACAGCUCGAUAGGUGUUGAGUAGUUUUGGUUGUAUAAGUCCACCGUCAACCGUUUCAAAAAUACGAAACGAUUGGAAAUAGAAUGACUCGACACUCAACUCAACAGUCAACCAUUUCAAAAAUAGGGCCCCAGACCCACGACAAGCUUGUUCAUGUGAGUCUAAAGUGAGCAGUGUCAUAUGACAAAAGAAUUUUCCCUCCACCCCUACCCAGAACGCUCCUAAAACCUGUUUCUUUGUGCUGAACCACCAUUUUUGUUGGAUUUAGACUUCCUCACUCUCAGUAGUCUCAGUUGUCAGUUCUCACUUAUCUAGUUCUGGUGUUGUGAGUUACUCGUUUCGUUACUAGUUGUGAGUUUUUUUUAUGGUUUUGAUACCAAGACAAAGCAAUGAAGAAUUAAGGGAUUCCUGUAAAGAUCUUCUGAAGCAGGCGGUGGAGUUGAUGGGUUCAGAAAAGAAGUUGAAGGUGAAGUGGAAGAUAGUGGGCAUUGUAUUUAUUAUAUUAAUAAAUUGUCUUGAAAUGUGAA